GCCGGUUCCAGAAGGUGCACUUACAUGGCAGUGGUUUGGAAAUCAGGGGUACCUAUUAGCAGCAAUAACAAACAGGAUUGAUUUUGACUUUAAAGCUGGAUCACCAACUUGCUGAGGUCAGGCCAAGUACUGGGAAAACAUAAAAUGACAAUCCUGACUGAAGUACUCUGAUGAGAAGAAUCCUUACCAUUCCCAUGUGCCAGAUUACUGCUGCAUCCUGUGCAAAUCCUGUAAUUCAUUGAGUAAGAAAAGAAUGAGCAUUGCUACAGUUUUAUGGAUGUUAGGGGAAUGGUAUACAGUAGAGCAAUUGGGAUAAGGAUCAAGGGAAACAGAAGAUAUGCUGUCAUGUAUGCUUUAACAAGCCUGGAACUAAACAUCACUAUAAUGUCUUUUCAGUCUAUUAAUUGUCAUAUGUUGCAAGUAAACACAAACAUCAAAUACUGCUACAGACAGACUGCAUGCCAAGAACGUAACUAGCAUUGUGUUUGCUUCCCUAGCUUCC